rnacentral:rRNA from 1 species
UACGUAGGGCGCAAGCGUUGUCCGGAUUCACUGGGUGUAAAGGGUGCGCAGGCGGGAAAGUAAGGUAGAGGUGAAAUCUCACAGCUCAACUGUGAAACUGCCUUUGAUACUGCUUUUCUUGAGUUAGGGAGAGGUUGAUGGAAUUCCAGGUGUAGCGGUGAAAUGCGUAGAUAUCUGGAAGAACACCGGUGGCGAAGGCGGGUCUCUGGGCCGAUACUGACGCUGAGGAGCGAAAGCGUGGGGAGCGAACAGG